CUUGGAGGCUUCACAGGUGGCUCAGCAGGAGACAGAGUGUUCAAUCCUUGGGUCAGGAAGACCCCUUGGAGAAGGAAAUGGCAACCCACUCCAGUAUUCUUGUCUGGAGAAAAAUGAGGAAGCAGCUUUGUUGGAGAAGGUCAUGGAGAGGCCAUGAUUGCUGGUUGAAGUGAGAGCUGGAUACAGCUAUUGAAACAUGAUUUUGUUGUCGUUGUUCAGCUGGUAAGUGGUGUCCGACUCUUUUGUGACCCCAUGGACUGUAGCCCACCAAGCUCCUCUGUCCAUGAGGUUCUCCAGGCAAGAAUACUGUGGGUUGCCAUUUCCUUCUCCAAAGGUUCUUCCCAUAUCAGAGACCGAACCCAUGUCUCCUGCAUUGGCAGGUGGAUUCUUUACCAGUGAGCCACCAGGGAAGCCUUAUUGAAAUAUAAUUUACAUACUAUAAAAUUCAACCUUUUGAACUGUCCAAUUCAAUGAAUUUUACUAAAUCUACAGAGUUGUGCAGCCUUUACCAUAAUCCAAUUUUAGAAAUUUCCAUGGUUCUUGAGAGCUUUUUUGUGCCCGUUUGCGAUAACUUCUCAUCCUCUCCCACCACUCUCGGCAACCACUUGUUGUUUUCCCUGUUUAUAGAUUUACUGAACAUUUUGAAAUACUGAAGUCGCUUGUAUUUGCCCUUUACUUGCCUUGAUAUUUUGGUGAUUUAUCCAUUUUGUAAUAUGUUCGCAGUAGGUUUUUUUUUUUCUUUUUUCUGAAGAGUUUUACAUUGUUUGGCUUUAAAAGAUAAACCAAAGCAUAUUAAAACAUAUGGUUUAUUUCAGCAAAAACUGAUUCAAAUCAGGUCACCAUCCAAUCUAGCAGAUAGAAAGGAGAUUUAAGAAGCUGAACAGCAUUGAGUGGGGCAUCCCAAAGGGUCUCAUCCUGGUCACCAGAAACUACAGAGAAGGAAAAAUAAUUUCUCCUCUACUUUUUGCCUUAGUAGGCAAAAAUACAUCUUGUGCAUUGGAAAUGGAAAAAGUAACACUGGGGACAGAUCAUCUAUGGAAGCUUUAUCAACAAGGCCUUCUGGCAGUUCAUAAAAUUAGUUCAUAAUUCACCUGGUUGAUGAAGAUAUCAAAAGAUAGUUUAAAGUGCUGAGUACUUGGCUGAGACCACUUCUUCUGUAGGGCAUUUAAUUAACGGAUAAGCUUAUCCAAGUUAAAAUUUCUCCACUGUGACCACUGUAAUUCAAGACCAUCUUUGGUAAGACUAACUUGCUUAUCUCCAGCCUUAGACCAUUUUAUUCACCAAAGGCCUCUGGAUCCACUGGAUCCAGUCCAGCUUAAGUAGAACCCAGUCUGACCCCAGACCUAGUUUGACCAGACCCCAGUCUGGUUUCUGAGUCAGACCCAGUCCGACUCAAACCAGUUCCCGGACACAGUCUGGAAAAAAAAAAGUACUCAAAUUCUAAAAGUUGGUAGCAGAAGAGCUAUGGACCUAGGAUCCAAGAGGGAUU
ensembl:lncRNA